UGCCAGACUCCUACGGGAGGCAGCAGUGGGGAAUAUUGCGCAAUGGGCGAAAGCCUGACGCAGCGACGCCGCGUGAGGGAUGAAGGUCUUCGGAUCGUAAACCUCUGUCAGGAGGGAAGAAGUGGUUAUAUGCGAAUAGUGUAUGACUUUGACGGUACCUCCAAAGGAAGCACCGGCUAACUCCGUGCCAGCAGCCGCGGUAAUACGGAGGGUGCGAGCGUUAAUCGGAAUCGCUGGGCGUAAAGCGCUCGUAGGCGGUAUGUCAAGUCAAGGGUGGAAUCCCCGCGCUCAACGUGGGAACUGCCUUUGAAACUGGCAAACUGGAGUGUGUGAGAGGAUAGUGGAAUUCCAGGUGUAGGAGUGAAAUCCGUAGAUAUCUGGAGGAACAUCAGUGGCGAAGGCGACUAUCUGGCACAUAACUGACGCUGAGGAGCGAAAGCGUGGGUAGCAAACAGGAUUAGAUACCCCGGUAC
rnacentral:rRNA from 1 species